CAAACCCAGCUAGCUACUGAAAUCUGCAUGCAACAGCUUGUAAGGAUGGCCAUGGCGAGGAAGUCAUUCGUUUUGCCACUGCUGAUGGCAGUGCUGAUGCUGUUGGUCGUGUCAGGGUCGGCGCGCCGACUGGAAGGAGGCGAUAACUGGGCCGGCGGCGAGGCCGCCUCCAGCUUUGGCCACCCUAUCAUACAGUUCCUCAAGCGGCUGUAUCUGCAGCAACUGUCAGGUCCAUGUCUCGACCCCGGGACCAACAACCCAACAGCGCCCCCUUCCUGCCCGCCUCAUCCGUAAUGAUCUGACGCUAGAAUCCAACCAACGCAAAUCAACCAACAGAUGGACACAAGUCAUCACAAGUGCUGUAUGUACAUAUAUAGGUGGCCUGCUUUGAUGCUAUAUGUAUGCUUCACUGUGUGAUAGUGUCAGUGAUGAUAGGCGAUAUACUUGUUGCAACCACAAUGUGAUAAAACACUAUGUUUGAUUUCUUUGUUGUUAAGUCUCGAUAAAUGAUAGUAUCUUCUUUUCUGAAUAAAGUGAUAGUCCCGAUCUGUCAUGUGAAUGAAUGGUUUGUUGAAUCCUGAAUGGAAGAGGAACAGGUAACUGUGGAGCAGAGUGCGUUCAUGCUCCUUGCCAUCAGC
rnacentral:lncRNA from 1 species